GAUGAAGAACGCAGCGAAAUGCGAUAAGUAAUGCGAAUUGCAGAAUUCAGUGAAUCAUCGAAUCUUUGAACGCACAUUGCGCCCGCCAGUAUUCUGGCGGGCAUGCCUGUCUGAGCGUCGUUUCGACCCUCGCGCCCGGCUUCUGUCGGGGGCGGUGUUGGGGAUCGGCCACACCCUUCAGUGGGAGGCCGGCCCCUAAAUUCAGUGGCGACCACGCUGUAGCCUCCCCUGCGUAGUACUAAAACCACCUCGCAGGCGGAGAGCGGUGCGGCCCGCCGUAAAACCCCCCAACUUUUACAAGGUCGACCUCAGAUCAGGUAGGAAUACCCACUGAACUUAAGCAUAUCAAUAAGCGGAGGA
rnacentral:misc_RNA from 1 species